rnacentral:rRNA from 1 species
UACGGAGGAUGCGAGCGUUAUCCGGAUUUAUUGGGUUUAAAGGGCGCGUAGGCGGGUUAUCAAGUCAGCGGUAAAAUCGUGGAGCUCAACUCCAUCCAGCCGUUGAAACUGAUGAUCUUGAGUGGGCGAGAAGUAUGCGGAAUGCGUGGUGUAGCGGUGAAAUGCAUAGAUAUCACGCAGAACUCCGAUUGCGAAGGCAGCAUACCGGCGCCCGACUGACGCUGAAGCACGAAAGCGUGGGUAUCGAACAGG